rnacentral:rRNA from 1 species
GACGAACGCUGGCGGCGUGCUUAACACAUGCAAGUCGAACGGAAAGGCCCUGCUUUUGUGGGGUGCUCGAGUGGCGAACGGGUGAGUAACACGUGAGUAACCUGCCCUUGACUUUGGGAUAACUUCAGGAAACUGGGGCUAAUACCGGAUAGGAGCUCCUGCUGCAUGGUGGGGGUUGGAAAGUUUCGGCGGUUGGGGAUGGACUCGCGGCUUAUCAGCUUGUUGGUGGGGUAGUGGCUUACCAAGGCUUUGACGGGUAGCCGGCCUGGGAGGGUGACCGGGCACAUUGGGACUGAGAUAGGGACCAGACUCCUACGGGAGGCAGCAGUGGGGAAUAUUGCACAAUGGGCGGAAGCCUGAUGCAGCAACGCCGCGUGCGGGAUGACGGCCUUCGGGUUGUAAACCGCUUUCGCCUGAGACGAAGCGUGAGUGACGGUAAUGAGUAAAGAAGCACCGGCUAACUACGUG